rnacentral:lncRNA from 1 species
CUUCCUAAGCUGCUUCUGUUGGAAAUUUCAUCAUCAGAUGGGCACAUGACUCUUUUUUUCCAUUUUAAUUUUAAUUUCCAGUCUGUAGGGUUGGUUCCCUUCAUAGCAGGUUUUCGCAGAAAUUGCUACCCAGACUAUGAUGAAAAGUCUUGAAACUCGGUCUAUUAAGCAUCCCCAGGUUGGUUGUUCUGCACUCUUUCUACGAUCGUAAUCAAUCCGCUUUUACUCAUACAGAGUUAAUUCCUCAAGACACUUUGCGUAUGGAGCAUACCGAGACAGUAUCUGUGAUUAAUAAGCCAGAGUGACCUGAUAUUUAUACAAUAUAAACCAUAAAUUGGCAGCAGUGGCAAGACAAUGUAGCGUCAAGAAACGUGAGCAAAACUAGACUCACUUGGAGGGAAGAUACAGAUGAGUACACCCCUUGUAGGCCAUUGAUUGCAAACAAAAUUUUUAAGUUGUAUACAACAAAUUUGAAGUCCUGGGAGCAAAGCUUAGUUUUAGUUACCAUAUCACCCUUAUUUUCAUCUUAUGGUAAAUUAAUUGUCAUGUUAAACUCAGCUUUGUUAAAUUUUGGAAAUGUUAUUUUGCUCAUCUAGAUAUUAAGUAAUACAUUACUUUAAAUAAGAGGUGUACUAACUUAUGCUUGGCACUGUAGAUUAACUGACAAAAUCCAAAAGCAUGUAAUCUUAAACUUUACUUAUUAUAUCAUACUGAAAUGUAUUUGACUGUAUUGUAUCGUAUCGUAUCAUGACAUGUCUGUAUUCCAGCUGUUAAUGUAUCGCUUAUGAGACUGUUAUUUUGUUUUGUGCAAAAUGUGAAAAAAAAAAGUCACCCAUCACCUCCCCUCUUGCCAUGAUUUUAGAUAUAAAAAAAUAACCAAACAGAAACUGUCGGUCUUGAUGCUUAUAAUCUCGUUUACUUUGAAGGUUAUAUUCAGGCAUCAUCAGGCCUCAUAAGAGCUCUAAGUUGCAUGUUAGCUGAAAUAUUUGACAGUUUAACUUGAUAUUUAUUGUAAUAUUUUAUUCAUUCCCAUUUCUUCUGCGGGAGAUUUAGGAUAAAUAUAUAUCUAAAUCAAAAAAAAAAGUUAUAGAUUCCUGUUCAAUAAUCCUUCCAGACUUUAUCCAAUCAUAAGCAUUAAAAAGACUCCCUCAGACAUGUCUUGGUUGUCAAAUUGGAUUUCCAGUCUCCUAUCACGACAUGCAAGAUAUUCAUCAAGCGAAAACUGGGAGGGGGGGAUUCAAAAUGUACAAUGUAAUAGACUCUAGCACACUUCCAGGGGUGUCCACUUUCUCCUAUGUGUAGAGAUUACAUCCUAUCUCCUGGCUUUAGUGCGGCUGAGCCUGUCGGGAGGUUUUGAUUUAAAUGUUCGAGGCGGGGCUCGAUCAAAAAGUGUCGUCUUUCAGUCUGAUCAAAGCGGAUGAGGCCUCCGGGUCCUGUGAAAUCCAUGCUGUGCACUCUCAACCUCACUAUUUACAGAGCAGUGCACAGCUCCAGUCAAUGAAAUAUGCAUAAAGCAUCAAUUGGCUUCUCUCUUUCGAUCAUCUUUCUCAGUGAAGCACAAUAAUUUUCUCAUGAUCUUUUGAAAAUCUACAUAUUGAUUUUAAGUAUCUGUUUAAUCAGGAUGGUUCGUAGGAUCUCUGCAUUUACUGUUGCACGGCAUACAUUUUCGAAUUCGUGCAAGACUGUGCUUUGGCUGGCUGUAAAAUAUAAUUAAUAAAUGAUUCGCUGUGGAUACUAGCUUCUCUGAUCUUACCAUAAUAGUUGGACUAUUUCAUAUUCAGUGUGAAGAAUCUUUUUUUUAAUCUUCAGGGACUUUGGAGUUUUUUUUUCUAAAGCCAAAUAAGGAGAUUUUAAAACCUUAAGCCCUGUUUGAAUACAACUUUUUUUUUUUUAACCUAUAAUACCCUACAGUCUGACUUGUUAUUUUCUUUUCUUUCAGCGAAACAAGCCCGGCGCCCAUGAGAAAACGUUCACAGUGACCUCCGGA